GGCCAGCAGCCGCGGUAAUUCCAGCUCCAAUAGCGUAUACUAAAAUUGUUGCGGUUAAAAAGCUCGUAGUUGCAUUUGUGCGCCGCGCUGUCGGUGCACCGCAUCCGCGGUGAUACUGACACGUCUGCGGAGCAUAUCGUCGGUGAGCCGGCGAUAAUACGCCGGUUCAAUAUCAAAAUCCUAUCGCGGUGCUCUUCGGUGAGUGUCGAGGUGGGCCGACAAUUUUACUUUGAACAAAUUAGAGUGCUCAAAGCGGGCUCAAAAUGCUGCUUGAAUAUUUCGUGCAUGGAAUAAUAGAAUAUGAUCUCGGUUCUAUUUUGUUGGUUUUCAGAACUCCGAGGUAAUGAUUAAUAGGGAUAACUGGGGGCAUUCGUAUUGCGACGUUAGAGGUGAAAUUCUUGGAUCGUCGCAAGACGAACAUCAGCGAAAGCAUUUGCCAAAGGUGUUUUCAUCAAUCAAGAACGAAAGUUAGAGGUUCGAAGGCGAUUAGAUACCGCCCUAGUUCUAACCGUAAAUAUGUCAUCUAGCGAUCCGCCGACGUUACUACAAUGGCUCGGCGGGCAGCUUCCGGGAAACCAAAGAUUUUGGACUCCGGGGGGAGUAUGGUUGCAAAGCUGAAACUUAAAGGAUUNG
rnacentral:rRNA from 1 species